CGGGGUGUAGCGCAGUUUGGUAGCGCACGUGCUUUGGGAGCAUGGGGCCGCAGGUUCGAAUCCUGUCACCCCGACCA
rnacentral:tRNA from 1 species